rnacentral:rRNA from 1 species
UGGGGAGUACGGUCGCAAGAUUAAAACUCAAAGGAAUUGACGGGGACCCGCACAAGCGGUGGAUGAUGUGGAUUAAUUCGAUGCAACGCGAAAAACCUUACCUACCCUUGACAUGGAUGGAAUCCCGAAGAGAUUUGGGAGUGCUCGAAAGAGAACCAUUACACAGGUGCUGCAUGGCUGUCGUCAGCUCGUGUCGUGAGAUGUUGGGUUAAGUCCCGCAACGAGCGCAACCCUUGUCAUUAGUUGCUACGAAAG